GAUGAACGCUGACAGAAUGCUUAACACAUGCAAGUCAACUGUGGCGGACGGGUGAGUAACGCGUAAAGAACUUGUCUCACAGAUAGGGAAAACAUUUGGAAACGAAUGCUAAUCCCUGAUACUGUGAGUGAGCUUUGCGUCCCAUGAGCUAGUUGGAGAGGUAACGUCUCACCACGGCGAGGAUGGGUAGCCGGCCUGUGAGGGUGAUCGGCCACAAGGGGACUGGGACACUGCCAUUACUCCUACGGGAGGCAGCAGUGGGGAAUAUUGGACAAAGGGCCAAAGUCUGAUCCAGCAAUUCGGUGUGCACGAUGAAUUUUUCGGAAUGAAAAGUUCUUUCAGUUGGGAAGCGGUACCAACAGAAGAAGUGACGGCUAAAUACGUGCCAGACGCCGCGGUAAUAC
rnacentral:rRNA from 1 species